rnacentral:tRNA from 1 species
GGCUGGGUAGCUCAGUCGGUAGAGCAGAGGACUGAAAAUCCUUGUGUCGGCGGUUCAAUUCCGCCCCCAGCCACCA